rnacentral:tRNA from 1 species
GUUCCGGUAGCUCAGUCGGAGGAGCAUCGCGUCGACACCGCGAAGGUCGCUGGUUCGAGUCCAGCCCGGAACAC